rnacentral:rRNA from 1 species
UACGUAGGGGGCUAGCGUUGUCCGGAAUCAUUGGGCGUAAAGAGCGUGUAGGCGGCUUGGUAAGUCCGCUGUGAAAGUCCAGGGCUCAACCCUGGAAAGCCAGUGGAAACUGUCAAGCUAGAGUCCGGAAGAGGCGAGUGGAACUCCUGGUGUAGCGGUGAAAUGCGCAGAUAUCAGGAAGAACACCAAUGGCGAAGGCAGCUCGCUGGGACGGUACUGACGCUGAGAGACGAAAGCUAGGGGAGCGAAAUGGGAU